GUGCCUAACACAUGCAAGUCGAGCGAGAAAGGGGCUUCGGCCCUGAGUAAAGCGGCGCACGGGUGAGUAACACGUGGGUAAUCUGCCCUAGAGUGGGGAAUAACACCGGGAAACCGGUGCUAAUACCGCAUACGAUCAUGGAGUCUUCGGAUUCUGUGAUGAAAGGAGCAAUCCGCUCUUGGAGGAGCCCGCGGCUGAUUAGCUAGUUGGUGAGGUAAUGGCUCACCAAGGCGACGAUCAGUAGCCGGUCUGAGAGGACGGUCGGCCACACUGGAACUGAGACACGGUCCAG
rnacentral:rRNA from 1 species